rnacentral:rRNA from 1 species
CCUACGGGAGACAGCAGUGAGGAAUAUUGGUCAAUGGACGAGAGUCUGAACCAGCCAAGUAGCGUGAAGGAUGACUGCCCUAUGGGUUGUAAACUUCUUUUAUAUGGGAAUAAAAUGUUCCACGUGUGGGAUUUUGUAUGUACCAUAUGAAUAAGGAUCGGCUAACUCCGUGCCAGCAGCCGCGGUAAUACGGAGGAUCCGAGCGUUAUCCGGAUUUAUUGGGUUUAAAGGGAGCGUAGGUGGAUUGUUAAGUCAGUUGUGAAAGUUUGCGGCUCAACCGUAAAAUUGCAGUUGAAACUGGCAGUCUUGAGUACAGUAGAGGUGGGCGGAAUUCGUGGUGUAGCGGUGAAAUGCUUAGAUGUCACGAAGAACUCCGAUUGCGAAGGCAGUUCACUGGACUGCAACUGACACUGAGGCUCGAAAGUGUGGGUAUCAAACAGGAUUAGAUACCCCUGUAGUC